AGAAUUACCAAAAUGUGACGGGGACACAAAGUGAGCAAAUGCUGUUAGAAAAGUGGUGAAAAGUGGUGGUGAUAAAUUUGCUCAAUGCAGAGGUGCCACAAACUUCAAUUCAUAAAAAACAAAAACAAAAAACCCCGUAAUACCUGCAAAGCAUAAUAAAACAAGGUAUGCCUAUAAAUUAUUUACUUGUGUGUAUUAGGAAAAUAAACCCAAAUUCUGAAAAAAAAAAAAAAAA